AGCGAACGCUGGCGGCAGGCCUAACACAUGCAAGUCGAGCGGACGUAGCAAUACGUCAGCGGCAGACGGGAGAGUAACACGUGGGAACGCGCCCUUCGGUUCGGAAUAACUCAGGGAAACUUGGGCUAAUACCGAAUACGCCCUUACGGGGAAAGAUUCAUUGCCGAAGGAACGGCCCGCGUCCGAUUAGCUUGUUGGUGAGGUAACGGCUCACCAAGGCGACGAUCGGUAGCUGGUCUGAGAGGAUGACCAGCCUCACUGGGACUGAGACACGGCCCAGACUCCUACGGGAGGCAGCAGUGGGGAAUAUUGGACAAUGGGCGCAAGCCUGAUCCAGCCAUGCCGCGUGGGUGAUGAAGGCCCUAGGGUUGCAAAGCCCUUUCGGCGGGGAAGAUAAUGACGGUACCCGCAGAAGAAGCCCCGGCUAACUUCGUGCCAGCCGCCGUCGUAAGAC
rnacentral:rRNA from 1 species